CCUCCUGAGUGCUGAGAUAACAGGUGUCCAGCGCCAUGUACCCCCCACCGAAUACUGGGGAUCUAACUCAGGACCUUCCACGUUCGAAGCAGGCGAAGUGCCACUGAGCUAAGUCCCCAGUCCCUCUGAUCUCUUAUAGGAGCACAAAUCCUAGUUCUGAGAGCUUCACGGUGGCAACCUAAGCACCUCCCAAAGCUCCUCCUCUCACCAUGACCUUGGGGAUUAAGGUUCACCAUGUGAAUUAAAAGGAGUGUCACAAACCUGACUUCCAAACCCUCCUCUAAGUGUCCCCUGCUCUGGAACCCACAGGUCCAGGAGGUCCCUAGCCCACGGUGAACGCUUAAACCAGAGAGCUCCACGGGAUUUUGGCUUCCAAGGUUCCAAGGCUUCAGCGCCUUGGCAUUUGAUAGGUGCUGAGCGUGCAUUAUCAAGUAAAUAAAACAAUAGGUGCUUACUUUUCCUAGGAAGUAGAGGAUGUGAUGGCCCCCUGCCAAGGGUGGCCCUCCUGUGCACCUCGGACCAGGCCAUCCACCUGACACCCCAGCCGCAGCCAGGGUGGAAGCUCUGCUCGGUGGCCUGGGACCCGGUGGGACAGAGGGCUCCCGCUGGCCUGGUGCGUGGCUCCUCAGCCUUCAUUCACACGAAAUGCGAUCCCAUCACUCAAGCCGGGCGCCUGGCCUUGGCCGGCUCAGGUAAUGACGAUACGGGGCUCAUUUAUGCAAGAUUAUCCCUUUAUCACAUUUCCAGACUCAUUUGUGAGGCUCAUGUUCCCCCCCGAGGGCGUCAUCAAGCAAGUUAAGUUGAACUAUUUCCCUCCUGCGGCGAACUGGCGGGAGUCUCUCUCGUUGACGGAUGAGGCCCGCUGCCUCUGCCAAAUAGGGUCGGCGUGAUGGAUCUUUUACUUGUGAAUAUUAUAGCUGGAAAUUAGCAUGUUUAUUGAGGUAGAAUGUGUUUGUUUACAUCCCACUACCCAUGGCAUUACCUCUUAUGACCUGACUUAUUUAGUUGGGGAUAAGCACAAACCAUCCACGUUUUGGCACCCACGAAAAAUUAAUGAACUUCCAGAUAUAGAAUUCAGCCUUAAGUAAACACGGCAGCGAGGUGAGUGGGUACGGAGGGGCCCCAAAGGGCUGGGGGCUUCGCAGCAAGGGAGCCCUCUUGUACUACUCUCAGCGCCCGCCUGUGCGCAGGCGCGGUCCAGGUUCGGGACUCCGGACGCCUGGCCAGGAGCUGGAAGACCCCGGAUGUGCGACCCUGGAACCUGCUUCUCUCCUGACCUCUGCAUCUGCAGCAGCUUGGAGACCCAGCUGCUCUCUCCAAAUCUGAUUUGCAAACACUCACCCACCCAGCAGCCUGUCUUUUUCAAAGAAGAAAACCGAGCUUCAGAGAAGUAGAAGGAUUUGUCCUUGGUCUUGAGGGCAAAGAGAAAGAAACUGAGGCUCAGCAGUAUUAGAUGCCGAUGGCUCCACACUCAGAUGCUGUAAGUGUCGGAGGGCAUCAGACCCAGUUCAUCGCGCAGGCUGUGAGCGGUGUAGUGACCCUGAGGACACCCGCAAUGACUGCCGGGAGCACUGCAGGCUGCCCAUGAAGCCAGGCAACAGCCUGAUGCCACCCGGGCUCCUGCCCCGCCCACCUGGCCAGCCUCCCUCUCCCAGCCAAUUACUCCUAAUGGAGUGAUAGGAAAUGUAACUAACUUGGGGAAAUAUCUGUAUACUUUAAUUAAAUCAGUUUGCAAUUAGC